AAAAAAACAAAGGUUUGAGGGGGGAGGGGGGAGGGGAGGUUAAUUUGCAAUCCAAAGAAGAAAUCAAAAGUCCAAAAUUAAGAUAUAAAAAUAAGAAACUCUCCAAUUAAACAAACUUCAGUCCAAGGUAAUUCUUAUUCCAAUGGAUUGAUUUGAUCAUAGACAAAAGAAAUACAAUUAUCUCUUAUUGAAUACUUAACGUAGAUUUACCAAACAGCGAGGUAAAACCCCUUACUUCCCUAUACUCAUCAAUUCGAGCCCAGCACUCUUGUUGACUCUAAUUAUUAACUGAAUUGGUAUUAAGCAAUCCUCAUCAAAUUAAUAACAGCUUUAAGAAUAGGAAGUAGUUAAGCUGAACAACAAUUUAUGAAGCAUAAAUCAUUUAAUCCAUCCUAUUGUUUCCUUAGGUUAUUAUUGAAAACUUGGAUCAUAAUCAAUAAAACUUAAUUGCUACUCAUGUUCAAUCUUACACAACAAUUACGGAUUAUGAAGAUGAACUAGCAAUUGAUCAAAUCAAACAAUCAACUAAUAGGCCUUUUUAGCAAAUCAUUCAACAGAUCGAAAACAAUUAAAUCAGAAAACAAUAGAUAUUCAAAAAGACGUAAAUUAAAUUAAGAAUCUGAUCUCACAAAUCACACAUAAGAACUUGAAUCCCUUAAACUGAAUUAAAACUUAGCCGCUCAUGGCUUACAGAAAAAUCAAGAAAUAAUGAAGAAAUCUAAAACUAUGGAUGUGAAUGGAGAAUGAAGGUGUUUUUGAUGUCAAGAGGCUGCUGAAUUGGAUGUUUGUGUCGGCUGCUGCCUCUUCUAUUUAUAAUAAAUGGUCUAGGGUUAGGUUUUUAGAGUCUCUGUCAAAAACUGCAACUGGAGCAAAAUCAGAAAACUGAUUGUCGACGAAUACACGGCCCGUGUAUCACUAUACGGCCCGUGUAUCUCUACACGGCCCAGGGUCGUGUAACUUACUGGAGCUGAAUG
rnacentral:misc_RNA from 1 species